AGAGGAACAAGACAAGAAGUAUGAAGACAAGAAUUCUACAUGUGCUGAGUGAAGAAAGUUUUCAGAGUAGGCAAUUCAAGCUUGCCUUGCUGUUGUGUUGCAGAAGGAGAUACUCAGGUGAAGGUGAAAGAACACACAGCCAUCUAUAAACUUCAGCAUAAAAGAGCUGAAUAACAACACCAGUGUCCAUCAUCGGCUGCACCCAGGCUAGGGGUCAAAUUGGAGCUAUAGCUGCUGGCCUGCACCAUAGCCACAGCAAUGCAGAAUCUAAGCCAUAUCUGCAGACAACACCACAGCUCAUGGGAACACUGGAUCCUUAACCCACUGAGCAAGGCCAGGGAUUGAACCCUCAACCUAAUGGUUUCUGGUUGGACUCAUUGCCAGUGUGCCAUGACGGAAGCUCUAAAAGAGACCCAAAACAAGAAGUUUAUGAACUAACAUCACUCCAUAGGAGCCACACUGAUUUAGACAGCUGGGCAUAAGCCCCAGCAAGGGCUGAUGAACUCUGAUACCAGAAAGAAGAAAUAAAAUAAGGCUCAAGCAGGAUAUGAUCCAUUCAUCAUUACUUUUUAAAAAAUCCUUGAAAUGAAAGACCAAACAAUGAAAUUACUACUAUUUGCCAAUGUUAAUGGGUUAAGGAUCUGGCAUUGCCGUGAGCUGUGGUGCAGGUUGCAGACAAAGCUCAGAUCUGGCAUCGCUGUGGCUAUGGUGUAAGCGGAAGCUGCAGCUCUGAUUCGACCCAGCCUGGAAACUUCCAUAUGCCGUGGGUCCUGUCCUGAAAAACAAAAGAAGAAGACGACCUCAUUAGGCUUCUUUGUGCAGAGAAGGUAACGCCUAGAAGAAAUAUUUACAAUAUUCAAAUAUGACUGCCCACGAAAAUGAAAAUUGAAUGGCUCUGCCUAUGAUAUCAAUGGAAACUGAUGGGGAGUGAGAGAUGAAGCCAGUGGCUGGCACUUCUGGAAACAGAGUUGACAAAAUAUCCUGAAAAUGCUCUGCCUACAAAACAUUAAAUACAACAUAAAAGUGGCUGAAGUAUUUCUAAUUUUCUUUAAUUCACAUCUGUGCUGGCAAGUAAAAAGGGAGCUUCCGAAGAAGACAAAGAUGAAAUGAAAGCCUGAAUCCAAAGAUCAAAGCAGGUGCUAAAGCUGGGAGCUCCCCUAGGGGAGUUUGCUAGUUCCUCUAAUUCAGAGCCCUGGGUUUAAAGGGCCAUGCGGAAAAUGAUCCAUGACCUUGGAUUCAUGUACACUGAAGAGCUGGACUAAAGAUUCCUAUAAAAAGCCAAAGGAUUUAGACUAAACGAUGGGACAGAAAAUUAUCUUCCCACAAAGAUAGAUACAAGAGAAAUUGACCAGUUCAGCCUUACAUCUCAGUGUGAAAAAAUAACAUAUCUUAGAAUUAGGAAUGUGGGUUUCAAAUUCUCACAAAUCACAUGACGGGAAGAAGCCCAUUUAAAUUUAACUUAAUAUGGUCAUGGGUUGAUGAACUGUCGACACUAGUCAUAAGACUAUCAGCCUGAGCAGGGCACAUUUAAAACCCAGUUCUCAUAGAAUUCUAUAAAUUUUACUGUGAAGAACACGAGUUCACAAUGAAAAGCAGACACUGGAGGAAAUGAAAAUUGAAGAGAGGGAAGAAUGAAAGAGAACUAAAUAACAAUUAUGUAGCUAGAGUCUGCAGAGGAAAUAUGUCAGUGAGAAAUUACCAGCAAUUCAUGCUUAAAGAGUGUUUGGGAACAAAGAUGUCUGCUACUUGAUAUUAAAGAGUUUUAAUUGUUAUGAUUAAAACCCCUCUGCAAACUUUCAAUAAACUCUGCUAUAUACACAAAUGCUUGAGUGAGGGAUCUGGGCAGAGAAAAAUCUAGGAAAAAUGACCUAGGUCCAAAUACGUUUCACUGUUCAGUAGAGAGGGGAACAGCAAUGAAGAUCAGAAGAAAUGAGAGAACUCAUUGGAAGCAUUCAGAUUAAUCAUUCAAGGCGUAAUCAUUCCAAUCAUCCAAGGGUUCUGGAUCUCUUCAAAGCUUCCCAAACCUGAUUAUUUAUUUUCAAUGUUAAUUUGUCUCUGAUAAGUCUAUACCUUCUACUACUCAUUUAAUAGAAUAUCUAUCUUAAAUUAUAAAUUCAUUAGGAAAAAAGUCAAAAGAGAAAGGCUAGAGACCUUCCAGCUCUACAAGGUUAAGAACCCAUGUUUCUAUGAUGUGAUACAGCGGUUGCUUUGGAGUUUUGUUAACAGGUCAAGCUUUGAGUGUUUUAAAUAUGUGUAAAAUGUGUAAUUAUAACUUUAUAUUCUAUAACAGUAUAUUCUAUAAUUUACAUUAAUGAAGUCUAAAGCCUCCAUUUUAUUUGAUGGAUCUUGGGACGGUCAGACUGAAUCUUGCCCUUGAGGAAGGUACUUUGUUGAUUUUUGAAAACAAUUAAGUCCCAUAAAGACAAAAACAAAAAUUAGGAAAAAAAACUAAGGCUCUUGUUUUAACUAUUAAUUCACAAUCAGUGCUCUUUAAUUCCUGUGUCUCCUGUCCUAAUCAUCCAGGAUGAUUUCUUGGAUCAUCAUUUCUUGGGUGGGUUGGGUAUUUUUGUGGCAUGGAGAAGGAAUAUGUUUACUGGCUUCUCUCUGAUGUGUUUGAUCUUGAUUAAUCUCAGUUUCUUCUUGGCUGGUGUAAUGAAAGCUGUCUUGUCGCUUUACAGAAAAGUCAUGGUCUUUCCUCCCUAAGGCUUCACUCAAGAUCCCAUAUUACACUCAGGCAGGUCAUGCUAAUGAUGUCUUGACACCUAUCCAACUGUGUACUUCUCCAGAUUUACCUGUUUCAUUCUAUAGCCUCCCACCUUUGCAGAUCUUUGCUUUCUUACAAAGACUAUCCACAUGCCAAGGAGUCCUCUUACUUCUAAGGAAACAGAUAUCAGAGAUCUAGUACAAAAGUUUUGUUUUGUCUGGCCUCUUUUCCCUUUUGUUUCCUGACAUAAUUCCUAAUGCCUACUUCUCCUAGGGCUCUCUACCCAUUGGACCAAUGACAUUUAUUUUCUCAGAUAGAAGAUAUAGUUAGCAUAGAACAAAGAGAGCAUUUCUAGAGAGCACUCUGAAAUCCAAGAAGGAUAAAGCACCUUAUGGGCAGAUAGGGAGUAGCUGAAUAACUACAUAGCAGAUAAGGCUUGGGUGAAAACACUGCAGAUGUCACUGAGAAAAGAUCUAGCACUUUCAUCCCUAUAAACCUAAGGUCCUCAGGAAGAGUAAGAUGAUAGAAACCUCAAGUAAGUUGAGGGGAAAUUCAAAAGCAGAGAGAGCUUGCAAUACUCUUCUGGGCUAGAACUCUGAGAACAGAUGACUUACAGAUGGUCAUUUGCCAAAACUGAGUGGACGGAGCAGGAUAAAAAUAGUAGCAUAAUAUAUUAGAUAAAGAAAUAUCUGAAACACACUUCACACAUAUCAGCUUGAGCAUUGCUCAUAAAAAUUAGAUGACAUUAGGCAAGAUAUAGAAUUUUCAAAAAGAUCUUAUGAAGGACUUGAAAGGACUUGAAAGCAAAUGCUACCAAACUCCUUCCAGCUAGGAGACGGGCUGCACCUCACUGAGACCAGGGAGAUUAACUAAGGAUAGAAAGAAAGUGGGGCAGAAAUAUCUCCGUGAAAGCUGCCAUCAUCCCAUGCUUAGAUGACAGUUGGGGAGCAGUGAAGGAAAAAGGGUAGAAGAGGGAAAACUCUUAUCUGUCUGAGAUAAAAGAGACUAUUUUUUUUUAAACUGGAUAGUCACUGCAUUUAAAUCUUGAGGAUAAUGUGAGAAAAAGAAUGUGUAUAUCUAUGUAUAACUAGGUCACUUUGCUGUACAAGAGAAAUGACAGAACAUUGUGAAUCAAGUAUAAUAAUAUUAAAAAAAAUAAAGGCAAGUUCAGAAUGUGAAGAAAAAAAUCUCAAAUUCCUAGAUAUUGAACCACAAUGGGGGAUUUCACGAGCAAACUCAGUUCAUUUAAAGAAGAUAAAUUCACUUAACAGUCUGAAAUAACUUAAAAGGUCACCUUUUUGCACCUCUAAGCCUAUUGUGUGUUCAACCUUGUAAUGAUUUGUUUUCAGACACAGACAAUUUACCUGUAUUUGUGGGCCUGAAAUUAAAGAAUGGUUGAUGCAAUCUUGAUUUUUAAAAAAUCUUGACAGCUAAUGUGAAGGGAAAAAAAUCGACUAUGUCCUAAAAAUUUUGAAUAAUUGUGCAACUUUUAACUUCAUAUUUCCCAUGUGAAUAUGACCCAAGUAGAGUGCUUUGACAGCAUUCACAUAAAAACUGUCAAUGUGUUCUUUAAACAGUGGUUAUCUGACCAAAUAAGACAGUGCCAUAAAAG
rnacentral:lncRNA from 1 species